rnacentral:lncRNA from 1 species
AGGAGUGGGACGUCCACAGGCUCAGAGAGUCAGAACCCCCGCAAAGCAGCCGGCCCAGACUCUGUCUCUCCAUCCACCCUGAAACACUGCGCCGACCAGCUGUCUCCAGUGUUCACGGACAUCUUCAACUCCUCGCUGGAGACCUGUCACGUGCCAGCCUGCUUCAAAGCCUCCACCAUCAUCCCCGUCCCCAAAAAACCAAGGACCACAGGACUCAAUGACUACAGACCCGUCGCCCUGACCUCUGUGGUCAUGAAGUCAUUUGAGCGCCUUGUGCUGCCCCACCUGAAAGCCAUAACCGUCCCACUCCUGGACCCCCUGCAGUUUGCCUAUAGAGCCAACAGGUCUGUAGACGAUGCAGUAAACAUGGCUCUGCACUACACCCUCCAAACUCCCCAGGAACAUAUGCCAGAAUCCUGUUUGUGGACUUCAGCUCUGCAUUUAAUACGAUCCUCCCAGCUCUGCUUCAGGUCAGGCUCUCCCAGCUCCACGUGCCCGAUUCCACCUGCAGGUGGAUCACAGACUUCCUGUCUGACAGGAAGCAGUGUGUGAAGCUGGGGAAACAUUUAUCUGAAUCCCAGACCAUCAGCACCGGAUCCCCCCAAGGCUGUGUUCUUUCCCCUCUGCUCUUCUCCCUGUACACAAACAGCUGCACCUCCAGUCACCAGUCUGUCAAGCUCCUGAAGUUCGCGGACGACACCACGCUCAUUGGGCUCAUCUGUGGCGGGAAUGAGUCCGCCUACAGGUGGGAGAGUGACCAUCUGGUGACCUGGUGCAGCCAGAACAACCUGGAGCUUAACCCUUUAAAAACAGUGGCGAUUAUUGUGGAUUACAGGAAGAACCCAGCCCCAUCCACCCCCAUCAUCCUGUGUGGCUCCCCAGUCGACUCUGUGGAGUCCUGCCGCUUCCUGGGCACCAUCAUCACCCAGGACCUAAAAUGGGAGCUCAACAUCAGGUCCCUCACCAAAAAAGGCCAGCAGAGGAUGUUCUUCCUGCGCCAGCUGAAGAAAUUCAACCUGCCAAAGACUAUGAUGGUGCACUUCUACACUGCAAUCAUUGAGUCCAUCCUCACCUCAUCCAUCACUGU